rnacentral:misc_RNA from 1 species
GAUGAAGAACGUAGCGAAAUGCGAUAAGUAAUGUGAAUUGCAGAAUUCAGUGAAUCAUCGAAUCUUUGAACGCACAUUGCGCCCGUCAGUAUUCUGGCGGGCAUGCCUGUUCGAGCGUCAUUUCAACCCUCAGGCCCCCAGUGCCUGGUGUUGGGGAUCGGCCCAGCCUUCCUGUAAGGCCGCCGGCCCCGAAAUCUAGUGGCGGUCUCGCUGUAGUCCUCCUCUGCGUAGUAGCACAACCUCGCAGUUGGAACGCGGCGGUGGCCAUGCCGUUAAACACCCCACUUCUGAAAGUUGACCUCGGAUCAGGUAGGAAUACCCGCUGAACUUAAGCAUAUCAAUAAGCGGAGGA